GUUGCUUCCAUACCUUGGCUAUUAUAAAUAAUGCUACAAUAAACAUAGAAGCUUUCAUCUUCAAUUUUAAUUUCAAGAAAGAAAUUCUACAUUGUUCUUUAAAAUCUCCUCCAAUUCAUACACAUAGACUAGGAUUGAUCCGAAAGAGAAAUAGCGGAGAGUGAGCCUAAAGGUAAGAAAGAUGAUCAACUCUACAGCCAGUUUUUGCAGCAAGAAUCCAAAAAAAGGGGAAAUCUCUGAAGAAAUUCAAUUCACUGAUGAUUAUAUGAGCUUAAAGAUUAUACUUAAAGCAAAUGUGUAAGACAAGACCUAAGACAAAUAACAAGGGCCUUGAAGCAAGAAGCACAUACCCUUCCAGUCUAUGUGGGAUACAAGAAGCAGGUCCAAAAGGGACCAUAACAUUAACAUGUACUAGAAAGAGACUGAGUUCGACAUGCAAUAUACAAUUUGUUGUACAAAUCCUUCUUGACUUAUAAUGUGAUUACAUCUGAGAGCUGUAGCUCCCUGCUGCUGCCUAGCAUCACAAGGGAGCAUCGCUCAGGAAAAUAUCAAAAUUCAUAACUUGAAGUACAAUUCCUCAUGAAUGCACAUCACUGUUGCACUAUCAUAAGGUUGAAAAAUCAUUAAGUUGAAUCAUUGUAAGUGGGGGACCAUCUGUAUGUAUCUAUGUUGAGUAAUUUAUAUACAUACUUCCCAGUAUAGGAGGUGGGUCCCAUUACUCCCCAUCUAUUCUUCUCUGUCCUCAGCAACUACUAUGUUAGUUUCCUACAGCUGCUGUAACAAUUCGAAUUUAUUAUCUCACAGAGCUAUAGUUUGGAAGUCCUAAAUGGGUCACACUGAGCUAAAAUUGAGGUGUGCCUUCCUUUCUGGAGGCUCUAGGGAAGAAGAGGUUUUCUUGCCCUUUCCAGCUAUACAGGCUUCCCAAGUUCCUGCAUCCUUGGUUCUCUUCCAUCUUCAGUAAUAGCUGGUCAAGUCUUAUAUUGCAUCACUCUGACACUGACUCUUCUGCCUCCUUCUUUCACAUAAAAGGUCUCUUAUGAUUACAUUAGGUAAUCCAGGAUGAUCUCUGUUUUAAGGUCAGAUGAUUAGCAACCUUCAUUCCAUCCACAGCCUUUGUUAUGUAAUAUAUGACAGAUUCCGGUAAUUAGUACUUGGACAACCUGGAGAGGUGGGGGGCAUGAUUCUGUCUACCACAACUACCAAGGUGAGGAACAUGGGACUCUUAGUAACCACACUGCUGACAUUGGAAGAGCCCAGGUUCGCCUGACUGCAAAGUCCAUGCCCUGGCGUAUUAGCCUGCUCGUCUGGAACAACCGCUCAUCAUCCCAUUCUGGAUGCUCCUGUUUAAGCACAUCACACACUCUGUUGUGUUCCCGCAGCCAAAUUGUGGCGUACAUCAUCAGACCAGGCACCAGACCAAAGACCUCCUGGCCCACAGCAAACCGCAGGUGUUCAGGAACAUGAGGAAGGGAAUGUUAUUGACAAUGUUCCAGACUCCCUUGAAGUGGGCAAUUCAUGCCAGAUGAAAGGCUAUUUUGUAGCAGAGACAACCCUUGUCUGCUUGCUGUGAGGUCUUAUAGAAGACUGGAAUUCUUCUUCAAGCAGAUGUUCAUCAACUACUUCUAAGAAUUUGUGCUUAUCAUGAUUAAACUAACUUUAAGAACAACAUUUAAGGAUGAUAAACAGGAACUGGAAGAAAAAGGAAUGCUUCUGAAGGGGAGCAGAAUUUGCCAACUGAAAAUCUGACUCUUUGGCUUACAGAUCAAUUUUAGGCUGAUUAUCUUUAGCAAGAGACAUAGGAAAGCUCUGAAAACUGAAAAGAAGUUUCUCUUUUGUAAAAGACAUCGCGACAUGUAUAAGAGAUGUCUCUUUUUCUAAGGGUGUCUCCCUGAUGCACCAGACAGAGGGAUAACUCUUAAAUUGCUAGAAAUCCUUAUCAACAGAGGAGGCAAUGACAUGAAUCUGCAUAACAACCUUACUCUUUUGACUGUGCUUCUCCUGGUAAGCUCUCGUAACAGCCUUCCUUUCUUACCCCCCAACAUCUUCUUUUGUCUUUAACUGGAGAUAUAAUUUAAAGUGGUGGAUUAGGCCAUUCCAGGAGCUGCUCAAUUUUCCAGAGUAACUCCCAUGUGUACAGGAGGCAUACGUGUUACUAAACUUUUCUUUGUUUU